UUGUUUCCGUGCAAGCCGGGCCAUUCGACCCCAAAGUGGAAUCAACAUUUGAUCUUAAAAGGAUCGCAACUAACUAUGGUUUCACAAUGGAAGAGCUUGGGGCACUUGAGCAUCUCUUCCUUGAAAAUGCUUCCUAUGGUAAUCUAUUCUUGAAGUUGGGAUCGGAUAAAGAGAAAUUUGAGUUUUUGAGCAGACAAAUAGACGUAUUUAACAGGAAGUAUGGCGGCAAUGACAGGCGCACGGCCAAAAGAAAGAGUCGCCAUGGUUGAGAUGCCACACGGAUUGGAGUAGCAACUGGCUUGCAAUUAUUAAAAAAGUACAAACUUAAGUGCUUGUUUAGCUAUUUGUGGUGAGGCGAUUAGCUAGAUGCUACGUUGUGUAUCUUGCUUUACCUAUCAUAUCUUUGGGUUGUAACACUUAUGUUUCGAUUUGAGUACUUCAAACUGUUUAGGACAUUGCUAAUAUUUAUGUCUUUUGGAACUUAAUAUGAUUAUGGAUUAUUA